rnacentral:ribozyme from 1 species
UGCUCAGCAACUCCUAUUACUAUCUCCUCACUGUACCGGCUAGGGUAUGAGUAACUUUAGGGAAGAUCGGGUAAUCAAGCCCGAUGGGAACUUUGGUCGUAUGCUGACAGAGAAGG